GGAGAAGUACUCAAGUGGCUGAAGAGGCGCCCCUGCUAAGGGUGUAGGUCGGUAAAACGGCGCGAGAGUUCGAAUCUCUCCUUCUCCG
rfam:Lactobacillus pobuzihii strain NBRC 103219 NODE_148, whole genome shotgun sequence.